UACGUAGGGUGCAAGCGUUGUCCGGAUUUAUUGGGCGUAAAGAGCUCGUAGGCGGCUUGUCGCGUCGAAUGUGAAAUCUCGGGGCUCAACUCCGAGCUUGCAUUCGAUACGGGCAGGCUAGAGUUCGGUAGGGGAGACUGGAAUUCCUGGUGUAGCGGUGAAAUGCGCAGAUAUCAGGAGGAACACCGGUGGCGAAGGCGGGUCUCUGGGCCGAUACUGACGCUGAGGAGCGAAAGCGUGGGGAGCGAACAGG
rnacentral:rRNA from 1 species